rnacentral:rRNA from 1 species
GACGAACGCUGGCGGCGUGCUUAACACAUGCAAGUCGAACGAAGAGCGAUGGAAGCUUGCUUCUAUCAAUCUUAGUGGCGAACGGGUGAGUAACGCGUAAUCAACCUGCCCUUCAGAGGGGGACAACAGUUGGAAACGACUGCUAAUACCGCAUACGAUCUAAUCUCGGCAUCGAGGAUAGAUGAAAGGUGGCCUCUACAUGUAAGCUAUCACUGAAGGAGGGGAUUGCGUCUGAUUAGCUAGUUGGAGGGGUAACGGCCCACCCAGGCGAUGAUCAGUAGCCGGUCUGAGAGUAUGAACGGCCACAUUGGGACUGAGACACGGCCCAGACUCCUACGGGAGGCAGCAGUGGGGAAUCUUCCGCAAUGGACGAAAGUCUGACGGAGCAACGCCGCGUGAGUGAUGACGGCCUUCGGGUUGUAAAGCUCUGUUAAUCGGGACGAAAGGCCUUCUUGCGAAUAGUGAGAAGGAUUGACGGUACCGGAAUAGAAAGCCACGGCUAACUACGUG